rnacentral:rRNA from 1 species
AACGAACGCUGGCGGCAGGCUUAACACAUGCAAGUCGAACGGGUGUAGCAAUACAUCAGUGGCAGACGGGUGAGUAACACGUGGGAACCUUCCUAGGGGUACGGAACAACUCAGGGAAACUUGAGCUAAUACCGUAUACGUCCGUGAGGAGAAAGAUUUAUCGCCCUUAGACGGGCCCGCGUCGGAUUAGGUAGUUGGUGGGGUAACGGCCUACCAAGCCUACGAUCCGUAGCUGAUCUUAGAGGAUGAUCAGCCACACUGGGCCUGAGACACGGCCCCGACUCCUACGGGAGGCAGCAGUGGUGAAUCUUGGACAAUGGGCGCAAGCCUGAUCCAGCCAUGCCGCGUGAGUGAAGAAGGCCUUAGGGUUGUAAAGCUCUUUUACCAGGGACGAUAAUGACGGUACCUGGAGAAUAAGCCCCGGCAAACUUCGUGCCAGCCUCCGCCGUAAAAC